GUAUCACGUUGAAACACUGGUUCUUGUACGAUCACCGAAGUUAAGCAACAUCAAACCUGGUCAGUACAUAGAUGGGUGACCGCUUAGGAAUACAAGGCCCUGCAA